AAUACUCUGUCAACAUGUACUGAAUACAUAGGUACAUGUGGGGAACCGCCUGAACUGAAACAUCUAAGUAGGGCGAGGAAGAGAAAUCAACCGAGAUUCCGCUAGUAGUGGCGAGCGAACGCGGAAGAGGCCAAACCGGAAGUAGCAAUAUUUCCGGGGUUAGGACUGCAAUAUGUAACUUUAAUCUUUAACUGAAUGCUUUGGGAAGAGCAGCGAUACAGGGUGAUAGCCCCGUAAGUGAAAAGGAUUGAGUGCUAGCAGUAUCCAGAGUACCAGCGGACACGUGAAACCCGCUGGGAAGAUGGGGGGACCAUCCUCCAAGCCUAAAUACUACUCAGUGACCGAUAGUGGAGCAGUACCGUGAGGGAAAGGUGAAAAGUACCCCGGGAGGGGAGUGAAACAGUCUCUGAAACCGUGCGCCUACAAUCCGUCGGAGCCCUUUUGUGGGGUGACGGCGUGCCUAUCGAAAAAUGAGUCUGCGAGUCAGUGGCGGGUGGCGAGCAUAAGCCGUGUGGCGUAUGCGUAGCGAAAGCGAGUCUUAAAAGGCGUUUUUAGUCGCUUGUCCUGGACCCGAAGCGGGAUGAUCUAGCCCUGGGCAGGUUGAAGCGCGGGUAAGACCGCGUGGAGGACCGAACCCACCUGGGUUGAAAACCGGGGGGAUGACCUGGGGCUAGGGGUGAAAGGCCAAUCAAAUUCCGUGAUAGCUGGUUCUCUCCGAAAUGCAUUUGGGUGCAGCGUCGGGUCAUUACGUCCCGGGGGUAGAGCUACUGGAUGCUUGCGGGCCCGAGUCGGCGGGGGAUAAGCUCCGUCGUCGAGAGGGAGACAGCCCAGACCGUCGUCUAAGGUCCCGAAGCGUGUGCUAAGUGGGAAAGGAUGUGGAGUCGCAUAGACAGCCAGGAGGUUGGCUCAGAAGCAGCCAUCCUUGAAAGAGUGCGUAACAGCUCACUGGUCUAGUGGUUCCGCGCCGACAAUGUAGCGGGGCUCAAGCACACCACCGAAGACGCGGCAGCAAUCUUCAUGGUUGCUGGGUAGGAGAGCGUCCUGCGAGGGGCGAAGCGGCCGGGUAACCGUGCCGUGGACUUCGUGGGAGUGAGAAUGCAGACAUGAGUAGCGAGAGACGGGUGAGGAUCCCGUCCGCUGGAUGACCAAGGGUUCCGGGGCCACGUUCGUCGUCCCCGGGUGAGUCGGGUCCUAAGGCGAGGCCGACAGGCGUAGUCGAAUGGAUGAACGGGUGGAUAUUCCCGUACCGACCAUGGACCGGCAAAACCGAGACGGUGAGUACUAACCUCCGCCUCGUGGUGGUUCCUUCCUUCGGGUUGGUUCCGCCGCGUGGUGUUGGGAGCGUAGCCGCAGUAGGUCAGCGCAGGGGUGACACGGAAUGGGAGCCGGCCGCGGAGGUGGUUUUCCGUGGUCAAGCACGCAGCCAGUCAUGUAGGCAAAUCCGCAUGGCGCGCAUGGCGAGGUGUGAUGAUGGGAGCCUUUCGGGCUCGAUAUCCGGUUGUCCAGGCCGUCGAGAAAAGCCUCGGCGUGAGGGCCAUGGCCGCCCGUACCCCAAACCGACACUGGUGGUCAGGUAGAGAAUACCAAGGCGAUCGAGCGAAUCCUGGUCAAGGAACUCGGCAAAUCACUCCCGUGCCUUCGGUAUAAGGGAGACCCGCUGGGGUGAACCGGCUAGCCCGGGGAGCUUUGGUGGGUGGCACAGACCAGGGGGUAGCGACUGUUUACCAAAAACACAGGUGCAUGCGAAGGCGAAAGCCGCUGUAUAUGCACUGACGCCUGCCCGGUGCCGGAAGGUUAAGAGGAGAGCUUAGCGCAAGCGAAGGUUUGAAUUUAAGCCCCAGUAAACGGCGGCCGUAAGUUCUGACCCGCACGAAUGGCGUAACGACUUCCCCACUGUCUCGACCAGGAGCUCGGCGAAAUUGCAGUACGAGUAAAGAUGCUCGUUAAGCGCAGAAGGACGAAAAGACCCCGGGACCUUUACUAUACCUUGGUAUUGGCGUUAGGCGCGGAUUGUGUAGCAUAGGCGGGAGGCUUCGAAGCGGGUGCGCCAGCAUUCGUGGAGCCGCAAGGUGAAAUACCGCUCUGUUCUCGUUUGACGUCUAACCUCGACAAGUCAUCCUUGUCAGGGACAGUGCCUGGCGGGUAGUUCAACUGGGGCGGUUGCCUCCCAAAGAGUAACGGAGGCGCUCAAAGGUCCGCUCAGCCCGGUUGGCAAUCGGGUGUCGAGUGUAAUCGCACAAGCGGGCUUGACUGCGAGGACGACGGUCCGAGCAGGGACGAAAGUCGGAGAUAGUGAUCCGGUGCCGGCGCACGGGCGCGGCAUCGCUCAACGGAUAAAAGGUACCCCGGGGAUAACAGGCUGAUCAUUCCCAAGAGUCCAUAUCGACGGGAUGGUUUGGCACCUCGAUGUCGGCUCGUCGCAUCCUGGGGCUGGAGCAGGUCCCAAGGGUUCGGCUGUUCGCCGAUUAAAGCGGCACGCGAGCUGGGUUCAGAACGUCGUGAGACAGUUUGGUCUCUAUCCUCUGCGCUCGUUGGAAUCCUGAGGAGGCCUGCCCAUAGUACGAGAGGACCUGGGUGGACGAACCUCUGGUAUGCCGGUUGUCGCGCCAGCGGCACGGCCGGUUGGCUACGUUCGGGAGGGAUAACCGCUGAAAGCAUCUAAGCGGGAAGCCUGCUCCAAGAUUAGGAUUCCGUACGGUCUUGAACCGUUGUAGCCCGCAUGUUGAACACGUGUUUGAUAGGCCGGAGGUGGAAGUCCCGUGAGGGGUGGAGCCGACCGGUACUAACGGGCGACGGCGACAUAA
rnacentral:rRNA from 1 species